rnacentral:lncRNA from 1 species
CUAAAUUAACUUUGCCAUAUAUGGCUCAACCAAUGAGAUACUCCCAUCUUAAAUCCAGGCAUAAAUUCCACAUUUUUGUAAAGACCCAUUGUUGGUUUUGUUAUGAGGUAUCAUAUAAUUGUGUUGGAAAUGCAACAAAAUCGUUUGGUUUAAAAAAGUUCUUUUUGGAAGUUAUUUAAAAAAAAAUUGGUGUGAGUAUUUAUUUCUUCUUGUCAAAAUAGGUAUUUAUUUUUUUGUAUUUAGAGUGGCGGUUGUAUUUAUAUAUUUUUAAAUUGUGUUGAUUUUGUUUAUAAUAUAUAAAUACAUGUAGCUAUAUAAUGACUUCUAUUUAUAUUAUUGUAUAUAUAAUUUUGUAUUUAAUUACAUUUUGAGGUGCUUUAUUUUUUUUUUCCAAGGUAUGUUUUAUUUCUAAAUGAUUUUAAAAAUAAAUCAUGUACAAUUAUAUCAUUCUUAUUUUAAUCAAAAACAACAAACAAUAUGACAAUAAAUUUUUUUAAUGAUAUCAUUGUUUAUUGGUAAAUUUAAAAAUUCUGAUAAUAGUAUUUGUUGUUCGAAAUAUCUAUUUUAAAUUUUUUUUUUAAUUGAAUGUUAAACUGAAUUCAAAGAAGAAAUAACCUUGUUA